UACGUAGGGGGCAAGCGUUGUCCGGAAUCAUUGGGCGUAAAGAGCGUGUAGGCGGCCAGAUAAGUCCGCUGUGAAAUCUCGAGGCUCAACUUCGAGCUGUCGGUGGAAACUGUCUGGCUAGAGUCCGGAAGAGGAGACUGGAAUUCCUGGUGUAGCGGUGAAAUGCGCAGAUAUCAGGAGGAACACCGGUGGCGAAGGCGGGUCUCUGGGCCGAUACUGACGCUGAGGAGCGAAAGCGUGGGGAGCGAACAGG
rnacentral:rRNA from 1 species